UCUUCCUUCCUCCAUCCAGCACACGUGUGUGUCGUCGUGCCGUAGCGAGUGUGGUUUGGACUCAUACAAGCCAUCCAUUGCCAACGGUGAAGGAGAACCCACGAAAGUCUUGGUUUGGAGGGAAAAAGAACUUGGACGACCCUCCCAGCUGCUGAUGUUACCAAGUCUAUCUUUGUCAACAUGACACUUUGCCGGGUUUGAUGUCGUGUAGGGGUCCCUCGGCUGCUUCAUGGCGACCUUGCAUCGGCAGACCCGAGAGGAUCCAUUCCAAUGAAGAGCCUGCGAAGACAAUCUCAGGGGGAUAGGGCACACAUGCAUCCUCAUGUAUACUUGACCUAAUUUAAUUGACUUUCCAGCAUUUAUUCAAUUUGGCUUUCAAAUUUCCAUUUUCCACCAGUUGAGGGUGGUAGCUACCAAGUGUUUUGAGGUAACCUGUCAGAAAGCCGUUGUCAGGGGAAACCUUUUUGAGAAUUGUAAUGAAAUUAUUCAGUCGAUUCUGCGACUACCACUUACUUCAAUCCUUACUUAAACGGGCCAACCAUAUCUUGACAGUCUUUUGUGACCGCAUCGAUCAUUAUUUCGUUAUGUACAUUACCAGUAUAGAGACAAUAUGGUCCAACCAUAAUCAUUAUCAGUAUUAUACUAAUAUAUGUGUAUUAUCUUAGAGACUGCUAAUUAAAACAUGACUAAAUAUAAAUGCAUAAAAAGUGCCCUAGACACAUAACAUUUUGGUUGAAUAAAAAGGUCUAGCUAUGUACUUUUUCUUUCCCCCAAAAGCUUUUGUAUCUAUUUACAGUGUUGGGAAAAAAAAAUUUCUAUGCGAAAUAGUUCAAAGUUCAUUCGCACCGCAAAUUGUGCUGGCGCCGCGGAUCGUUCUUUGACACUGCCGUCCACAAACAUGGAAUGCGCUGACACUUUGCCCCCACUAUAUUUGCCUUGUCGUAGGCAUGCAGCUCAUUGGGGCAUGUGGUAUGUACCUACAGUGGGUACGGAAAGUAUUCAGACCCCCUUAAAUUUUUUACUCUUUGUUAUAUUGCAGCCAUUUGCUAAAAUAAUUUAAGUUCUUUUUUUCCCCCUCAUUAGUCUACACACAGCACCCCAUAUUGACAGAAAAAACAGAAUUGCUGAAUUUUUUGCAGAUUUAUUAAAAAAGAAAAACUGAAAUAUCACACAAACAUCAGUAUUCAGACCCUUUGCUCAGUAUUUAGUAGAAGCACCCCUUUGAGCUGAUACAGCCAUGAGUUUUUCACACCUAGAUUUGGGGAUCCUCUGCCAUUCCUCCUUGCAAAGCCUUUCCAGGUCUGUCAGGUUGGAUGGUGAACGUUGGUGGACAGCCAAUUUCAGGUCUCUCCAGAGAUGCUCAAUUGGGUUUAAGUCAGGGCUCUGGCUGGGCCAUUCAAAAACAGUCACGGAGUUGUUCUGAAGUCACUCCGUAAUUUUAGCUGUGUGCUUAGGGUCAUUGUCUUGUUGGAAGGUUAACCUUCGGGCCAGUCUGAGGUCCUGAGCACUCUGGAGAAUGUUUUUGUCCAGGAUAUCCCUGAACUUGGCCGCAUUCAUCUUUCCUUCAAUUGCAACCAGUUGUCCUGUCCGUGUAGCUGAAAAACACCCCCACAGCAUGAUGCUGCCACCACAAUCCUUCACUUUUGGGACUGUAUUGGACAGGUGAUGAGCAGUGCCUGGUUUUCUCCAGACACACCGCUUAUAAUUAAGGCAAAAAAGUUCUAUCUUGGUCUCAUCAGACCAGAGAAUCUGAUUUCUCACCAUCUUGGAGUCCUUCAUAUGUUUUUGAGCAAACUCUAUGUGGGCUGUUAUGUCUCCUGCACUGAGGAGAGGCCUUCGUCCGGCCAAUCUUUCAUAAAGCCCCAACUCGUGGAGGGCUGCAGUGAUGGUUCACUUUAUGGGAACUUUAGCCCAUCUCCCGCUCAGCCACAGUGAUCUUUGUGUUCUUUUUUUACCUCUCUCACCAAGGCUCUUCUCCCGCCGAUUGCUCAGUUUGGCCGGACGGCCAGCUCUAGGAAGGGUUCUGGUCGUCCCAAACGUCUUCCAGUUAAGGAUUAUGGAGGCCACUGUGCUCUUAGGAACCUUAAGUGCAGCAGAAUUUUUUUUGUAACCUUGGCCAGAUCUGUGCCUUGCCACAAUUCUGUCUCUGAGAUCUUCAGGCUGUUCCUUUGACCUCAUGAUUCUCAUUUGCUCUGACAUGCACUGUGAGCUGUAUGGUCUUAUAUAGACAGGUGUGUGGCUUUCCUAAUCAAGUCCAAUCAGUUUAAUCAAACACAGCUGUACUCCAAUGAAGGUGUAGAACCAUCUCAAUGAUGAUUAGAAGAAAGUGACAGCACCCGAGUUAAAUAUGGGAGUGUCACAGCAAAGGUUCUGAAUGCUUAUGGCUGUGUGAUUUUUCAGUUUUUCUUUUUUAAUAAAUCUUCAGAUAUUUCAACAACUCUGUUUUUUUUCUGUUACUAUGGGGUGCUGUGUGUACAUUAAUGAGGAAAAAAUGAACCUAAAUUAUUUUAGCAAAU